rnacentral:rRNA from 1 species
UACGUAGGGGGCAAGCGUUGUCCGGAUUUAUUGGGCGUAAAGAGCGUGUAGGCGGUUUGGUAGGUCCGUUGUGAAAACUCGAGGCUCAACCUCGAGACGCCGAUGGAAACCAUCAGACUAGAGUCCGGAAGAGGAGAGUGGAAUUCCUGGUGUAGCGGUGAAAUGCGCAGAUAUCAGGAAGAACACCCGUGGCUAAGGCGGCUCUCUAGUACGGUACUGACGCUGAGAGGCGAAAGCGUGGGGAGCGAACGGG